rnacentral:sRNA from 1 species
AAGGGCCAUUUGGGCACUUCGGUGCCGGACGCGCCGUCCGUAACCCACCUGACGAAUGCUCGCAACAUGGUGUCAGCC